rnacentral:lncRNA from 1 species
AUAAAGCAACUCCAACUUGGAUUGAAUCAACCUUGCAUAGCUCAGUUCGGUAUUUUCAACUUGGAUUGGAACCUCUAAAUUAUCAACAAACUGAAAUGACAUAGUAUUUGGAGUUUGGAUAUGAAAAGUACUGCUUUCACAUAUUCAUUUCUUAACUGAUAGUGAUGAUACACAUCAUGUAAAACGACAACAGAAGGAACUACUACAAUUCAGAAUUACGGCAACGAUUUGCUGGAGCACAUAACUCAUCACUGCAACCAAAAAAUCUAGGACACCAGCAACAUCAGAACUAGUAGUGCCAAAAGUAAGCAUACACUAAACGGAAUAAUGAACCAUGGGAUUAAAUAAUUUAUUAAAUCAUUUGCAAGAAGGUUUUGGCGAAAAAAGGAGCCGGCAUUGCUUCAGCACCACAUACGAGAAGAGCUACUUGCCUGGUUGUAGUAUUGUACUUGGCAAGACGCUGUGAACGGCAGGGAGCCUCGGUGUUAAUCUGAACAUUGUUGUGGAUGAAGAAACAUCAGUGAGUCAGUCAGUCCCGCCUCCGGGCAUCGAUCCAAAGGAGCAACAAUUUCUUUGCACAAAUGUUCAUAAUUCAUACAAUAAUUUGCUACAGAAAAACAAAAAGAUUUUCAGAGAAUUAGCUCAUUCUCUUAACAAUGAAAGCUGCUGAUUUCCUUGCAGUGUUCAGUAUUUAUAGAAAUAACUUGCUACAAAAUGAUGCAGCAUUCUCUUAAUAAUUAGCUCAUUCAAUGAAAGCUGCUGAUUUUCUUAACAAUUAUUUUUCUUUCCAAAGUUGGCGACACAUUUGUGACAUUUGGGGGCAAAUGAUGCAGCAAAUCCAGCAGGAUCAGCACAAAGUAUUCAGCUUCUGAACAAGCUCUCUAGCCAUGUACUCCAAUUACAAGAUUGUUACAUGGAGAUACUGAAGAAGAGAUAACAGCCAUGUACUCCACUUAAUUUCACUCACUUCAAUACUACUUUGAUUUUGCAGAAACACUUGAUUGAUUCCAAGGACCAGUUCGGUUUGAUAAACAAGACUGAAUGUUCCUAGUUAAGCUCAACCACCUCGGAUGCAUCCAGGGAAAACUAUUACUGUACUAAAUCAUAUAGGCAUAAAACAGAGGUCAAAAUGCAGAGUAUAAGCAUGGAAUACUUGUAUUCAACGAUAUUGCCGUCACUUAAUCAAUAAUAAAGCAACUCCAACUUGGAUUGAAUCAACCUUGCAUAGCUCAGUUCGGUAUUUUCAACUUGGAUUGGAACCUCUAAAUUAUCAACAAACUGAAAUGACAUAGUAUUUGGAGUUUGGAUAUGAAAAGUACUUCUUUCACAUAUUCAUUUCUUAACUGAUAGUGAUGAUACACAUCAUGUAAAACGACAACAGAAGGAACUACUACAAUUCAGAAUUACGGCAACGAUUUGCUGGAGCACAUAACUCAUCACUGCAACCAAAAAAUCUAGGACACCAGCAACAUCAAAACUAGUAGUGCCAAAAGUAAGCAUACACUAAACGGAAUAAUGAACCAUGGGAUUAAAUAAUUUAUUAAAUCAUUUGCAAGAAGGUUUUGGCGAAAAAAGGAGCCGGCAUUGCUUCAGCACCACAUACGAGAAGAGCUACUUGCCUGGUUGUAGUAUUGUACUUGGCAAGAUGCUGUGAACGGCAGGGAGCCUCGGUGUUAAUCUGAACAUUGUUGUGGAUGAAGAAACAUCAGUGAGUCAGUCAGUCCCGCCUCCGGGCAUCGAUCCAAAGGAGCAACAAUUUCUUUGCACAAAUGUUCAUAAUUCAUACAAUAUUUUGCUACAGAAAAACAAAAAGAUUUUCAGAGAAUUAGCUCAUUCUCUUAACAAUGAAAGCUGCUGAUUUCCUUGCAGUGUUCAGUAUUUAUAGAAAUAACUUGCUAUAGAAAAACAAAACAAUGUUCAGAGAAUUAGUACAUUCUUGAACAAUGGCAGCUGCUGAUUUCCUUGCAUAGUGUUCAGUAUUUAUAGAAUAACUUGCUACAGAGAAACAAAACAAGCAAGCUGUGUUGCUCCCUGUCAAAUCAUCUUCUUCCUCAUGCUGAAAACGAGCAAGUUGUGCUCUGACGGCAUCAUCAGAGCAGAGCUACCAAAAUCGCCAUCCCUGUGCUGCUCCCUGUCAAAUCUGGGUGUUCGUGAGCUCGGAGACGGUGGCCGCUGUCAGCCAUGGACUCAUCAGAAGGAAGAGGGGAGGGAGAGGUGGGUAGUACCUGGAAGUCCUCGGAGGCGACGGGGAUCGCGGACGCCGUUGGGGAGCUUGGUGAUGCGGGUGGGGACAACGCACGGGGGGAUGUCCAGCCCGGGUAGGAGGCGUAGGAGCAAGGUCGAGCACGCCGCGGAGGCUGUAUGGUCGCCGGACAGGCACCGCUCGCCGUAUUGGCUGCUUCCGCCCCUGGACCUCGCGGAGCCCGAGCGGUCGCUGCGCCUCCCCGUAUUGGCCGCCGCUGCACUUUGACCUCACGGCGCUCAUGCGGGCACGGCGCCUCGCCGUACUGGCCACCUCCCUCGCGGAGCUCGUGCGGGCGCGCCUCCCGUGCUGACCUCGCGGCGCUCGUGAGGCGCCUCGCCGAGGAGGGGGCAGCAGGGCAGCUGCAGUGGAGGAGGGGAUGUAAAGGGGAAAGGGAAAAGGCGGACGGCUGGG